UGGGGGAAGAAAGGUAUUCCAGGUAGUAGAAGGGCAUAAGCUGAGGCAUGCUGCCGGGAAACAAGAGACCUGCAUCUCUAUACAGCGAGUACUGGCACUUAAUGGGAUGCAGUCCCUGUCCCAGUAAGGACGACAGGAGGAGUGGGAAAUGAAGUUGGGGGGGGUCAGCCAGUACCAGGUUAUGGAUAGUUUAGAAUCUCUGGCUCUGCAGUGUGGACUACAUUUCCUGAGCAGUGGGUGCUUUUUAGGCGUUGCCACAUUUUGUUUUAGCUGGAAUAAUGAUGGCAUUGGAGCUGGCUGGGAGUAAUGCUCUGAAGCAUUGUGCCAGAGUGGAAACAGUAAUGGAAGAGGGGCAGUAAGAAUGCUACUUCCGUGACUAGAAACCAAGGCUACGAUGGUAGCAGCCGAAACAGAGAAAAGAAGAGGUGCUGUGGAGUUAGAAUGGCGAGGCUCGGCAGUCUGCCUAUGCUCAUGAAAUCAGGAAGGCUGGAGAGUCAAAGGGGCUUCUGAGUUUUGGUGGCUGGGAUGAUAGUCCCAUUUUAAAUUAUGAAUGGCAAGAACUGUUUUUUUUUAAGCCUGCGUUUUCAGUCCUAGCAUCACACACUCUGUACCUUUCUUUUUCCUGAUAGGCAGUUAUUUGGGAUAUACCUGUAAGUGUGGAGGCCUUCAGUCAGGAAGUCCCUUAAGUUCCCAGACAUCCCAGCCUGAGCAAGAAGUGGGGACCUCAGAAGGAAAGCCAAUCAGCAGCCUGGAUGCCUUCCCCACUCAGGAAGGUACGCUGUCUCCAGUGAACUUGACAGACGACCAGAUCGCCGCUGGCCUCUAUGCAUGUACAAACAAUGAAAGUACACUGAAGUCCAUCAUGAAGAAGAAAGAUGGUAACAAAGAUUCAAAUGGCGCAAAAAAGAAUCUUCAGUUUGUUGGCAUUAAUGGAGGGUAUGAAACAACUUCAAGUGAUGAUUCCAGCUCAGAUGAAAGCUCUUCUUCCGAGUCAGAUGACGAGUGUGAUGUCAUUGAGUAUCUCUUGAAGAGGAGGAAGGAGGAGGAGGAUGAAGACACUCGGGAAUGGCAGAAGGAGCCAUGCAGUUAAUAUUGAAGGUUUUGAAGUCUGCCAGGGUGGAGAGUGAAAUGCAGGUUCAAAGAAUGUGAACUGAGAAGGUGGAAAUCAGAGAGAGGUGUGUACAUCCCCUUCCUCCCUUGCCCUCCCACAUUUUAAUGUACUUUGGCAAUAGAGUUGGCCAGUUCAGAGCUUUUUAAUUAAAGUUUUCUUUUAUCUGUUCCUCAGAGGUAUACACAUCUUGAGAUACUAAUAUAUACAAGUGCAG
rnacentral:lncRNA from 1 species